UACACUCCUACGGGAGGCAGCAGUGAGGAAUAUUGGACAAUGGGUGGAAGCCUGAUCCAGCCAUCCCGCGUGCAGGAAGACGGCCCUAUGGGUUGUAAACUGCUUUUAUCUGGGGAUAAACCUACUUACGUGUAAGUAGCUGAAGGUACCAGAAGAAUAAGCACCGGCUAACUCCGUGCCAGCAGCCGCGGUAAUACGGAGGGUGCAAGCGUUAUCCGGAUUUAUUGGGUUUAAAGGGUCCGUAGGCGGACUGAUAAGUCAGUGGUGAAAUCCGACAGCUUAACUGUCGAACUGCCAUUGAUACUGUUAGUCUUGAGUAAGGUUGAAGUGGCUGGAAUAAGUAGUGUAGCGGUGAAAUGCAUAGAUAUUACUUAGAACACCAAUUGCGAAGGCAGGUCACUAAGUCUUAACUGACGCUGAUGGACGAAAGCGUGGGGAGCGAACAGGAUUAGAAACCCCUGUAGUCCC
rnacentral:rRNA from 1 species